AGGACGAACGCUGGCGGCGUGCCUAACACAUGCAAGUCGAACGAGGUCCAUCCUUCGGGAGAAGACCUAGUGGCGAACGGGUGAGUAACACGUGAGGAACCUGCCCCGAAGACCGGGAUAACUUUCCGAAAGGAAAGCUAAUACCGGAUACCCCCACCGAACCGCAUGGUUUGGUGAGGAAAUGGAUUCCGCUUCGGGAGGGCCUCGCGGCCUAUCAGCUAGUUGGUGGGGUAACGGCCCACCAAGGCAUCGACGGGUAGCUGGUCUGAGAGGACGAUCAGCCACACUGGGACUGAGACACGGCCCAGACUCCUACGGGAGGCAGCAGUGGGGAAUCUUGCGCAAUGGGCGAAAGCCUGACGCAGCAACGCCGCGUGGGGGAUGAAGGCUCUCGGGUUGUAAACCCCUUUCAGCAGGGACGAAUCAAGACGGUACCUGCAGAAGAAGCCCCGGCUAACUACGUGCCAGCAGCCGC
rnacentral:rRNA from 1 species